AAUCAUUUUAAUUCUUUGAGAUGGGACUAGACAGAGUUUUGAGUUACUUUACUCUAGUAAUCUUCAUUCAAUAUUCCUGCAGUCAGACACUGAUCGAGUCUGAUCCAGUGAUCAUCAAGCCUGAUCAGUCUCAUAAACUGACCUGCACAGCCUCUGGAUUAGACAUUAGUGGCUACUGGAUGGCUUGGAUCAGACAGGCGCCUGGAAAAGGGCUGGAAUGGGUUGCAACCAUCGACGUUACUAGCAUAUAUUACUCCAGCGCUGUUAAGGGCCGCUUCACCAUCUCCAGAGACAACAGUAAGAAGCAGGUGUAUCUGCAGAUGAACAACAUGAGGACAGAAGACACUGCAGUUUAUUACUGCGCUGUGAACAACCAAUUCGGAUUUGAUGGGACUUUUACUUCAAUCUACAUAGACAUUCGUCACAAUUAUUCGCCGGUGAGUACGCACACAAACGUGACAACGCCUACAAAAGGGAUCAAAUAA